CCUACGGGAGGCAGCAGUCGAGAAUCAUUCACAAUGGGGGAAACCCUGAUGGUGCGACGCCGCGUGGGGGAAUGAAGGUCUUCGGAUUGUAAACCCCUGUCAUGUGGGAGCAAAUUAAAAAGAUAGUACCACAAGAGGAAGAGACGGCUAACUCUGUGCCAGUAGCCGCGGUAAUACAGAGGUCUCAAGCGUUGUUCGGAAUCACUGGGCGUAAAGCGUGCGUAGGCUGUUUCGUAAGUCGUGUGUGAAAGGCGCGGGCUCAACCCGCGGACGGCACAUGAUACUGCGAGACUAGAGUAAGGGAGGGGGAACCGGAAUUCUCGGGGUAGCAGUGAAAUGCGUAGAUAUCGAGAGGAACACUCGUGGCGAAGGCGGGUUCCUGGACAUUAACUGACGCUGAGGCACGAAGGCCAGGGGAGCGAAAGGGAUUAGAUACCCGGGUAGUC
rnacentral:rRNA from 1 species